CCUCUUACUGAGGGAUAGCCCAGAGAAAUUUGGAUUAACACCUCAUGGUAUGUAGAAGUGGCAUCACUUUCACAUUAAAGGUUACGGUAAGAGAUGAGUAUGCGUCCUAUUAGCUAGUAGGUAUGGUAACGGCAUACCUAGGCGACGAUAGGUAGGGGCCCUGAGAGGGGGAUCCCCCACACUGGUACUGAGACACGGACCAGACUCCUACGGGAGGCAGCAGUGAGGAAUAUUGGGCAAUGGAGGCAACUCUGACCCAGCCAUGCCGCGUGCAGGAAGACUGCCCUAUGGGUUGUAAACUGCUUUUAUACGGGAAGAAACCGUCCUACGUGUAGGACCUUGACGGUACCGUAAGAAUAAGCAUCGGCUAACUCCGUGCCAGCAGCCGCGGUAAUACGGAGGAUGCAAGCGUUAUCCGGAAUCAUUGGGUUUAAAGGGUCCGUAGUGGAUUAAUAAGUCAGAGGUGAAAUCCUGCAGCUCAACUGUAGAACUGCCUUUGAUACUGUUAAUCUUGAGUCAUUAUGAAGUAGUUAGAAUGUGUAGUGUAGCGGUGAAAUGCAUAGAUAUUACACAGAACACCAAUUGCGAAGCAGAUCACUAAUAUUAUAUUGACGCUGAGGGACGAAAGCGUGGGUAGCGAACAGGAUUAGAUACCCUGGUAGUCCACGCCGUAAACGAUGGAUACUAGCUGUUCGGACUUCGGUCUGAGUGGCCAAGCGAAAGUGAUAAGUAUCCCACCUGGGGAGUACGUUCGCAAGAAUGAAACUCAAAGGAAUUGACGGGGGCCCGCACAAGCGUGGAGCAUGUGGUUUAAUUCGAUGAUACGCGAGGA
rnacentral:rRNA from 1 species